UGGGGAAUUUUGGACAAUGGGCGAAAGCCUGAUCCAGCCAUGCCGCGUGAGUGAAGAAGGCCUUCGGGUUGUAAAGGUCUUUUAGUCGGGAAGAAAGAGUUGCAAUGAAUAAUUGUGAUUUAUGACGGUACCGACAGAAAAAGCACCGGCUAACUACGUGCCAGCAGCCGCGGUAAUACGUAGGGUGCGAGCGUUAAUCGGAAUUACUGGGCGUAAAGGGUGCGCAGGCGGUCUUACAAGUCAGAUGUGAAAGCCCCGGGCUUAACCUGGGAAUUGCGUUUGAAACUACAAGGCUAGAGUGCAGCAGAGGGGAGUGGAAUUCCAUGUGUAGCAGUGAAAUGCGUAGAGAUGUGGAAGAACACCGGUGGCGAAGGCAGCUUCCUGGGUUGAGACUGACGCUCAUGCACGAAAGCGUGGGGAGCAAACA
rnacentral:rRNA from 1 species